rnacentral:lncRNA from 1 species
UUAUAGUCUUGAAAAUGUUGUUGUCAUUUGCUCUAAAAGAUAGAGUCUUGGAAUUUGCACAAGAUGGCCAUUGCCAUGAACCAAGAUUCAUUUUCUUGCCCAUAAUAAUAGCUUAGUAGUACCUCUUGUUAUAUUUGAUCAAGAAUCUAACUUUUUUGGGUAGUUUCUAGUGUUGUUUUUGGGAUAGAACAAAAAAUUGUGAUUUUUUGGGGUAUUUAAUGGUGUCAUAAAAAGGAAUAGCAAAAGGGAAGGGAGAUAUAAAGGAGAGGUGAGAGGAAAGUGGAG